UGGGGAAUAUUGGACAAUGGGCGCAAGCCUGAUCCAGCAAUGCCGCGUGUGUGAAGAAGGCCUUCGGGUUGUAAAGCACUUUUAUCAGGAGCGAAACGCUGUCGGCUAAUACCCGGCGGAACUGACGGUACCUGAGGAAUAAGCACCGGCUAACUUCGUGCCAGCAGCCGCGGUGAUACGAAGGGUGCAAGCGUUAAUCGGAAUUACUGGGCGUAAAGCGUGCGUAGGCGGUUUCUUAAGUCUGCUGUGAAAUCCCCGGGCUCAACCUGGGAAUGGCAGUGGAUACUGGGAGGCUAGAGUGUGUCAGAGGGUGGUGGAAUUCCCGGUGUAGCGGUGAAAUGCGUAGAGAUCGGGAGGAACAUCAGUGGCGAAGGCGGCCACCUGGGACAACACUGACGCUGAGGCACGAAAGCGCGGGGAGCAAACAGGAUUAGAUACCCUGGUAGUCCACGCCCUAAACGAUGCGAACUGGAUGUUGGUCUCAACUCGGAGAUCAGUGUCGAAGCUAACGCGUUAAGUUCGCCGCCUGGGGAGUACGGUCGCAAGACUGAAACUCAAAGGAAUUGACGGGGUCAUAGCUGUUUCC
rnacentral:rRNA from 1 species